GACGAACGCUGGCGGCGUGCUUAACACAUGCAAGUCGAACGGUAAGGCCCUUCGGGGUACACGAGUGGCGAACGGGUGAGUAACACGUGGGUGAUCUGCCCUGCACUUCGGGAUAAGCCUGGGAAACUGGGUCUAAUACCGGAUAGGACCACUGCCUGCAUGGGUGGUGGUGGAAAGCUUUUGCGGUGUGGGAUGGGCCCGCGGCCUAUCAGCGUGUUGGUGGGGUGAUGGCCUACCAAGGCGACGACGGGUAGCCGGCCUGAGAGGGUGACCGGCCACACUGGGACUGAGAUACGGCCCAGACUCCGACGGGAGGCAGCAGUGGGGAAUAUUGCACAAUGGGCGCAAGCCUGAUGCAGCGACGCCGCGUGAGGGAUGACGGCCUUCGGGUUGUAAACCUCUUUCAGCACCGACGAAGCGCAAGUGACGGUAGGUGCAGAAGAAGGACCGGCCAACUACGUGCCAGCCGCCGCGGUAA
rnacentral:rRNA from 1 species